rnacentral:tRNA from 1 species
GGAUGUGUGCCCGAAAGAUAGGGGCCACUUUGAUAGGGUGGCUGAUAGAGGUUCAAACCCUCUCACACCC